AGUGUUGAUUCAGUGGUAUUCGAAGACAGUGAUUUACAGAAAACACUUUACUGUGGAAAUUGUCUAUGUGAGCACACCGUCAGCAUCACAGAGAUUCACGAACAGCAAACAGAUGGUGUGAAAGUUGAGUUUGCAGAGGAAAAUGUGGCAGAAGAGGAAUCAGGGAUUUUGUCGGUUCGCUCUCAGGCUGGUUUAGAGAGCAUUGACAUCCGUCAUGAGAGUGAGCUGUCUUUUCUGCCGGAGAGUGAAGACAGUGAAGAACAUGAAAAGGAGCUUCAGGGGUUAGAGAGCCCUGUGGACACCUUAGAGCAGCCGCUGAAAGCAACAGAAGCUCAUUAUGGAGCAGAGAUCCCGACGGUUCAGGGAAGCGUUGAGACCAUCCAUGGACCGUCAGCACAUCCGAGGUAUCCAUCUGUGUGCUGUCUGUCAUGCAUCAGUAUACACAGAGAGGUUAUGUUAAGACUGCAAUAUAAGUGAUCAGAGACAUAAGAAUGAAUAAACAGGAGAUCAUUCUGUGACUUUUAGAUGUGUGAAAUAAAAGUGACCCCAAGACAUU